GCCUCGAUAGCUCAGUUGGGAGAGCGUUAGACUGAAGAUCUAAAGGUCCCUGGUUCAAUCCCGGGUCGCGGCA
rnacentral:tRNA from 2 species